AUAUACGUAUACGUAUACGUAUACGUAUACGUAUACGUAUAGUAGUCAAAGUCGUAUAUAUAUACGUAUACGUAUACGUAUACGUAUACGU